AAAGGUACUCAAGGGCACAGUAGUGGAUGCCUAGACGUAUAUCACCGAUGAAGGACGUGGAAGACUGCGAUAAGCUUCGGGUAGCUGUCAACAAGCUAUUAUCCGGAGAUCUCCGAAUGGGGAAACCUAGCAUGAGUAAUGUCAUGUUGUCUCUAUCUGAAUACAUAGGAUAGUUGAACGGGAACCAACUGAACUGAAACAUCUUAGUAGGUUGAGGAAAAGAAAGUAAAUAACGAUGGCGGGAGUAGUGGCGAGCGAAACCGUUAGAGCCCAAACCUUACAUGCUUCAUUCUGUUUACAGAGUGAUAAGUUGAUAGACGAAUGCAUGUGAAGGGGUUGUGAUAUAACACGAGACCAAGCCAGAGCACUUAACUUCGGUUGAGGAAUCUGGUUUGCGACCAGCAACUAUCAUUGACUGGAUAAAGUAAGAAAUUUGCAUUGUUAGCAGAAUAGUUUGAAUGACUAGCCAAAGGGCGUGAAAGCCGUGUAUGCGAAAACUUUGCAGACUUUAUACGUGUUUUAUCGAGUAGGGCGGGGCACGAGAAACCCUGUCUGAAUCUGGCUGGACCACCAGCCAAGGCUAAAUAUGAUAUGCGAUCGAUAGUGAACUAGUACAGCGAUGGAAAGGUGAAAAGAACCCCGGGAGGGGAGUGAAAAAGAUCCUGAAACUCUGUGCCUACAAGGAGUCGGAGCCGGCUUGUCCGGUGACGGCGUGCUUUUUGUAGAACGAUCCAGCGAGUUAAUUUCUAGUGCAAGGUUAAGUCAUUUGACGGAGCCACAGUGAAAGCGAGCCUGAAUAGGGCGUUUAGUACUAGGGAUUAGACCCGAAACCGGGUGACCUAACCAUGAGCAGGCUGAAGCUACUGUAACAGGUAGUGAAGGGCCGAACCGUAGAGCGCAGCAAAGCUCCCGGAUGACUUGUGGUUAGCGGUGAAAUGCCAAUCGAACUCGGAGAUAGCUGGUUCUCCUCGAAACAGUUUUAGGACUGGCGUCGUGUGGUAGCAAUUGGGGGUAGAGCUCUGUAAAGGACUGGGGCUGGCAACGGUACCCACCCUUAACAAACUACGAAUACCAAUUGUGGAAUCACGGCAGUUAGAACGGCGGAGCUAAGUUCGUCGCUCAAAAGGGAAACAGCCCAGACCAUCAGCUAAGGUCCCUAAAUUUACACUAAGUGGGAAACAAGGUGAGAUUUCUUAAACAGCUAGGAUGUUGGCUUAGAAGCAGCCAUUCAUUUAAAGAGUGCGUAACAGCUCACUAGUCAAGAGAUCUUGCGUGGAAAAUGUAACGGGGCUAAGUGUAAUACCGAAGCUAUGGAUUGUACGUUUACGUACAGUGGUAGAGGAGCGUUCCUAUCUGCGGUGAAGUCAGAUCGUAAGGUCUGGUGGAGCGUUAGGAAGUGAGAAUGCUGGAAUGAGUAACCAUAAGACAGGUGAGAAUCCUGUCGGCCGUAAGAGCAAGGUUUCCUGAGCCAUGGUAAUCAUCUCAGGGUUAGUCGGGCCUAAGCCGAGGCGCAUAGCGUAGGCGAUGGACAUCAGGUUAAUAUUCCUGAACCGGCGUAGUUUGCACACUGUUCACGGCGAGAUAUUCGGAGCGGAUUCAUGGUAUGUAUCCGUCCAACCUAGGGGGAACCCGAUGGGAGUGAGAGUUAUUCUUCGGAAUGACGAUUCUGGAAAAGGCGCUGGCAAGAAAAGCAGAUGUGCGCGUGGCUAUGUCCGCCCGUACCGCAAACCAACACAGGUGCUCGAGUCGAGUAGACUCAGGCUUACGAGAGACCCUUCGCUAAGGAACUCGGCAAUACAGCGACCGUAACUUCGGGAUAAGGUCUGCCCCCUCUUCUUUGAAGAGGAAGUUGCCGCGUACACUCAGCAAAAGGAGUGGAAGACAAGGUUAAACGUGUGAAGUAACUAACACACAUGAGUACGCUCAGGUUCUUUCGGGAAUCUGUAGUGAACAAAUCCUUUUUAAAACCAUAUAGAUUUUUUCUGAGAUAAGUAACAAAUGAUUUUGUUCUUUUGUACGCGAAACACUUCGUCUUUAUAGAUGAGGGGGCCGCAGCAAAAGAGCCCACGGAACUGUUUAUCAAAAACACAGGUCUCUGCUAACACGAAAGUGGAUGUAUAGGGGCUGACUCCUGCCCGGUGCCGGAAGGUUAAGGGGAUUGCUUCACGGCAUGAACUGAAGCCCCGGUGAACGGCGGCGGUAACUAUAACCGUCCUAAGGUAGCGAAAUUCCUUGUCAGGUAAGUUCUGACCCGCACGAAUGGAGUAAUCAUGUGGGCACUGUCUCAGCGAAGGCCUCGGUGAAAGUGCAUUGGCGGUAAAGAUGCCGUCUGUCCAUACCAGGACGAGAAGACCCCAUGGAGCUUUACUACAGCUUUACAUUGAUCCGGGUUUCAUCAUGUGUAGAAUAGUUGGGAGACUUUGAAGCAGAUACGCUAGUAUUUGUGGAGUCGCAAUGUGAAAUACCAACCUUGAUGUGAUCUUGAUCUCACUUGCACCGUUAUCCGGUGUGAGGACCGUGUAUGGUGGGUAGUUUAACUGGGGCGGUUGCCUCCUAAAGAGUAGCGGAGGCGUUCAAAGGUUGGCUAACUUCGGAUGGAAAUCGAAGUGAUAGUGUAUGCGCACAAGCCAGCUUGACUGUGAGGAGUACAUUCCAAUCAGAGACGAAAGUCGGAGCAAGUGACCCGCUGUAUUAGUACUUUGUACAUGUAUGUGGGAACGACAGCGCACACGGAUAAAAGUUACCCUGGGGAUAACAGGCUUAUAGCGCCCAAUAGUUCACAUAGACGGCGCUGUUUGGCACCUCGAUGUCGGCUCAUCACAUCCUGGAGGGGGAGCACCUUCCAAGGGUUCGGCUGUUCGCCGAUUAAAGUGGUACGCGAGCUGGGUUCAGAACGUCGUGAGACAGUUCGGUUUAUAUCCGGUAUGGACGUUAGGAAAUUUGAGAAGAUCUACCCCUAGUACGAGAGGACCGGGGCGGACGAACCUCUGGUGUAUCGAUUGUGGCCACCUGCUGCAUUGUCGAGUAGCUAUGUUCGGA
rnacentral:rRNA from 1 species